GCCCGGAUGGUGAAAUCGGCAGACACAGCGGACUUAAAAUCCGCAGACCUUAACGGUCGUGGGGGUUCAAGUCCCCCUCCGGGCACCA
rnacentral:tRNA from 1 species